UGAAUACGAGACGCUAAGGCGUCGAAGUAGUGUAUAUCAGACUUCCAAGAAAAGCUUGCACUGUCAUAGAUAAAAAAUGCCUGUACCAUAACCGACACAGGUGGGUAGGUAGAGUAUACUAAGGGGCGCGAGAUAACUCUCUCUAAGGAACUCGGCAAAAUAACUCCGUAACUUCGGGAGAAGGAGUGCCUUAUUUAUAAGGUUGCAAUAACAAGAUCCAAGCAACUGUUUAUCAAAAACACAGGUCUCCGCUAAGUCGUAAGACGAUGUAUGGGGGCUGACGCCUGCCCAGUGCCAGAAGGUUAAAGAAGUUGGUUAGCAAUUGCGAAGCUGAUAACUGAAGCCCUGGUGAACGGCGGCCGUAACAAUAACGGUCCUAAGGUAGCGAAAUUCCUUGUCGGGUAAGUUCCGACCCGCACGAAAGGCGUAAUGAUUUGGAUACUGUCUCGGAGAGGGGCUCGGUGAAAUAGACUCGUCUGUGAAGAUGCGGACUACCUGCACCAGGACAGAAAGACCCUAUGAAGCUUUACUGUAACUUGAAAUUGAAAUUGGACUUUAUUCGCGCAGCAUAGGUGGGAGGCGUUGAUUAUAAUCUUGCGGGAUUAUUGGAGCCAUCAGUGAGAUACCACUCUUGUAAUGUUAGAUUUCUAACUUUGAAUCAUUAUCUGGUCAAAGAACAGUUUCAGGCGGGCAGUUUGACUGGGGCGGUCGCCUCCUAAAUGGUAACGGAGGCGUACAAAGGUUUCCUCUGAACGGUUAGAAAUCGUAUCUAGAAUGUAAAGGCAUAAGGAAGCUUGACUGUGAGACCUACAAGUCGAGCAGGGACGAAAGUCGGUCUUAGUGAUCUGACGGUACUGAGUGGAAAGGCCGUCACUCAACGGAUAAAAGUUACUCUAGGAUAACAGGCUGAUCUCCCCCAAGAGUUCACAUCGACGGGGAGGUUUGGCACCUCGAUCUCGGCUCAUCGCAUCCUGGGGCGGUAGUACGUCCCAAGGGUUGGGCUGUUCGCCCAUGAAAGCGGUACGCGAGCUGGGUUCAGAACGUCGUGAGACAGUUCGGUCCAUAUCCGGUGUAGGCGUUAGAAUAUUGAGAGGAGCCUUCUUUAGUACGAGAGGACCGAGAAGGACAUACCUCUGGUGUACCAGUUACCGUGCCAACGGUAGACGCUGGGUAGCUAUGUAUGGAGUGGAUAACCGCUGAAAGCAUCUAAGUGGGAAGCCCACCUCAAGAUAAGUAUUCUC
rnacentral:rRNA from 1 species